rnacentral:rRNA from 1 species
GACGAACGCUGGCGGCGGGCUUAACACAUGCAAGUCGAACGGAAAGGCCCUGCUUGUGUGGGGUGCUCGAGUGGCGAACGGGUGAGUAACACGUGAGUGACCUGCCCUUGACUUUGGGAUAACUUCAGGAAACUGGGGCUAAUACCGGAUAGGAGCUCCUGCUGCAUGGUGGGGGUUGGAAAGUUUCGGCGGUUGGGGAUGGACUCGCGGCGUAUCAGCUUGUUGGUGGGGUAGUGGCUUACCAAGGCUUUGACGGGUAGCCGGCCUGAGAGGGUGACCGGCCACAUUGGGACUGAGAUACGGCCCAGACUACUACGGGAGGCAGCAGUGGGGAAUAUUGCACAAUGGGCGGAAGCCUGAUGCAGCAACGCCGCGUGCGGGAUGACGGCCUUCGGGUUGUAAACCGCUUUCGCCUGUGACGAAGCGUGAGUGACGGUAAUGGGUAAAGAAGCACCGGCUAACUACGUG